rnacentral:rRNA from 1 species
GUGGGGAAUCUUGCGCAAUGGGCGAAAGCCUGACGCAGCAACGCCGCGUGGGGGAUGAAGGCUCUCGGGUUGUAAACCCCUUUCAGUAGGGACGAAACUGACGGUACCUACAGAAGAAGCCCCGGCCAACUACGUGCCAGCAGCCGCGGUAACACGUAGGGGGCAAGCGUUGUCCGGAUUUACUGGGCGUAAAGAGCUCGUAGGCGGUUCGGCAAGUCGGGUGUGACAACUCCAGGCUCAACCUGGAGAGGUCACUCGAUACUGCUGUGACUAGAGUCCGGUAGGGGAGCAUGGAAUUCCCGGUGUAGCGGUGAAAUGCGCAGAUAUCGGGAGGAACACCAGUGGCGAAGGCGGUGCUCUGGGCCGGAACUGACGCUGAGGAGCGAAAGCGUGGGUAGCAAACAGGAUUAGAAACCCGAGUAGUCC